GAGUUUGAUCCUGGCUCAGAACGAACGCUGGCGACGUGGAUUAGGCAUGCAAGUCGAGCGGGAUCUAUAGAGACUGAAUCUUCGGAUGAUGACUCUAUAGUGAGAGCGGCGAACGGGUGAGGAAUACUUGAGUAACUUGCCCCUUUGUUCGGGAUAGCUUCUGGAAACGGAAGGUAAUACCGGAUGUGGUCACCCCUGACAUCAGGGGUUGUCUAAAGGCGGGGAUCCUUCGGGACCUGUCGCAAAGGGAUGGGCUCGAGUCCUAUCAGCUUGUUGGCGGGGUAAUGGCCCACCAAGGCUUANACGGGUAGCUGGUCUGAGAGGAUGGUCAGCCACACUGGGACUGAGACACUGCCCAGACUCCUACGGGAGGCUGCAGUCGAGAAUCAUUCACAAUGCGCGAAAGCGUGAUGAUGCGACGUCNCGUGGAGGAUGAAGGCCCUCGGGUCGUAAACUCCUGUCAAGAGGGAAUAAAUGCUAUAGGGUUAAUAACCUUAUGGUUUGACGGUACCUCUAGAGGAAGCCACGGCUAACUUCGUGCCAGCAGCCGCGGUAAUACAAAGGUGGCNAGCGUUGUUCGNAUUUACUGGGCGUAAAGGGUGCGUAGGCGGUCUUGUAUGUCA
rnacentral:rRNA from 1 species